rnacentral:rRNA from 1 species
UGCGAGCGAUUAUCCUUGAGUAAGGCGGGACACGUGAAAUCCUGUCUGAACGUGGGGGGACCACCCUCCAAGCCUAAGUACUCGUGCAUGACCGAUAGCGAACUAGUACCGUGAGGGAAAGGUGAAAAGCACCCCGACAAGGGGAGUGAAAGAGUACCUGAAACCGGUUGCCUACAAACAGUUGGAGCCUGAAAUGGUGACAACGUACCUUUUGUAUAAUGGGUCAGCGACUUAGUGUAACGAGCAAGCUUAAGCCGGUAGGUGGAGGCGUAGCGAAAGCGAGUCUGAACAGGGCGUUCAGUUCGUUGCAUUAGACCCGAAACCAAGUGAUCUAGCCAUGAGCAGGUUGAAGGUUGGGUAACACCAACUGGAGGACCGAACCCGUUUCUGUUGCAAUAGAUUGGGAUGACUUGUGGCUAGGGGUGAAAGGCCAAUCAAACUUGGAAAUAGCUGGUUCUCCGCGAAAUCUAUUUAGGUAGAGCGUCGACCGAAUACCCCCGGGGGUAGAGCACUGGAUGGGCUAUGGGGACUCACCGUCUUACUGAUCCUAACCAAACUCCGAAUACCGGGGAGUACUAGUCGGCAGACACACGGCGGGUGCUAACGUCCGUCGUGGAAAGGGAAACAACCCUGACCAACAGCUAAGGUCCCCAAGUCAUGGCUAAGUGGGAAAGGAUGUGAGGAUCCCAAAACAACCAGGAUGUUGGCUUAGAAGCAGCCAUCAUUUAAAGAAAGCGUAACAGCUCACUGGUCUAAAUAAGGGUCUUUGCGCCGAAAAUGUACCGGGGCUCAAGCCAUGCACCGAAGCUUUGGGUUCACUCUUUGAGUGAGCGGUAGCGGAGCGUUCUGUAAGCUGAUGAAGCAGGAUCUGUGAGGACCUGUGGAGGUAUCAGAAGUGCGAAUGCUGACAUGAGUAACGAUAAAGGGAGUGAGAGACUCCCUCGCCGAAAGUCCAAGGGUUCCUGCUUAAAGUUAAUCUGAGCAGGGUUAGCCGGCCCCUAAGGCGAGGCCGAAAGGCGUAGUCGAUGGGAACCACGUUAAUAUUCGUGGGCCUGCGGGUAGUGACGGAUCGCGUGUAUUGUCAGUCCUUAUCGGAUUGGUCUGGCAGUGAAGCGGUCCCGGGAAAUAGCUCCCGCGUACAGACCGUACCCUAAACCGACACAGGUGGACUGGUAGAGUAUACCAAGGCGCUUGAGAGAACUCUGCUGAAGGAACUCGGCAAAUUACACGCGUAACUUCGGGAUAAGCGUGACCUUGCAGCGGGCAACCGUUGUGAGGUGGCACAGACCAGGGGGUAGCGACUGUUUAUCAAAAACACAGGGCUCUGCGAAGCCGCAAGGCGACGUAUAGGGUCUGACGCCUGCCCGGUGCUGGAAGGUUAAGAGGAGAGGUGCAAGCUUUGAAUCGAAGCCCCAGUAAACGGCGGCCGUAACUAUAACGGUCCUAAGGUAGCGAAAUUCCUUGUCGGGUAAGUUCCGACCUGCACGAAUGGCGUAACGACUUCCCCGCUGUCUCCAGCAGAGGCUCAGUGAAAUUGAAUUCCCCGUGAAGAUGCGGGGUUCCUGCGGUUAGACGGAAAGACCCCGUGCACCUUUACUAUAGCUUUACACUGGCAUUCGUGUCGGCAUGUGUAGGAUAGGUGGUAGACUUUGAAGCCAGGGCGCCAGCCUUGGUGGAGUCGCCCUUGAAAUACCACCCUUAUCUACAUGGAUGUCUAACCGCGGCCCGUCAUCCGGGUCCGGGACAGUGUAUGGUGGGUAGUUUGACUGGGGCGGUCGCCUCCUAAAGAGUAACGGAGGCGCGCGAUGGUGGGCUCAGAGCGGUCGGAAAUCGCUCGUUGAGUGCAAUGGCAUAAGCCUGCCUGACUGCGAGACUGACAAGUCGAGCAGAGACGAAAGUCGGUCAUAGUGAUCCGGUGGUCCCGCGUGGAAGGGCCAUCGCUCAACGGAUAAAAGGUACGCCGGGGAUAACAGGCUGAUGACCCCCAAGAGUCCAUAUCGACGGGGUUGUUUGGCACCUCGAUGUCGACUCAUCGCAUCCUGGGGCUGGAGCAGGUCCCAAGGGUAUGGCUGUUCGCCAUUUAAAGCGGUACGUGAGUUGGGUUCAGAACGUCGUGAGACAGUUCGGUCCCUAUCUGCCGUGGGUGUAGGAAUAUUGACAGGAUCUGUCCCUAGUACGAGAGGACCGGGAUGGACGUAUCUCUGGUGGACCUGUUGUCGCGCCAGCGGCAUAGCAGGGUAGCUAUAUACGGACGGGAUAACCGCUGAAGGCAUCUAAGCGGGAAACCCACCUGAAAACGAGUAUUCCCUGAGAGUCGUGGGAGACCACCACGUUGAUAGGCCGGGUGUGGAAGCGCAGCAAUGUGUGAAGCUUACCGGUACUAAUAGCUCGAUCGGCUUGAUU